GGUUAAGCGACUAAGCGUACACGGUGGAUGCCCUGGCAGUCAGAGGCGAUGAAGGGCGUGCUAAUCUGCGAUAAGCGCCGGUAAGGUGAUAUGAACCGUUAUAACCGGCGAUACCCGAAUGGGGAAACCCAGUGUGACUCGUCACACUAUCAUUAACUGAAUCCAUAGGUUAAUGAGGCGAACCGGGGGAACUGAAACAUCUAAGUACCCCGAGGAAAAGAAAUCAACCGAGAUUCCCCCAGUAGCGGCGAGCGAACGGGGAGGAGCCCAGAGCCUGAAUCAGCAUGUGUGUUAGUGGAAGCGUCUGGAAAGGCGCGCGAUACAGGGUGACAGCCCCGUACACAAAAGCGCAUGUGCUGUGAGCUCGAUGAGUAGGGCGGGACACGUGGUAUCCUGUCUGAAUAUGGGGGGACCAUCCUCCAAGGCUAAAUACUCCUGACUGACCGAUAGUGAACCAGUACCGUGAGGGAAAGGCGAAAAGAACCCCGGCGAGGGGAGUGAAAAAGAACCUGAAACCGUGUACGUACAAGCAGUGGGAGCCCCACCACUAAGCCAGUGGUGAACUCCACAUACGCAUCCUUUGCUGAGGAUACGGUUAACGGAGCGAAAGCGACGUUCAACCUCAAAAGAAGCAGAGGGGGCUUAGUGGUGGGGUGACUGCGUACCUUUUGUAUAAUGGGUCAGCGACUUAUAUUCUGUAGCAAGGUUAACCGAAUAGGGGAGCCGGAGGGAAACCGAGUCUUAAUUGGGCGUUAAGUUGCAGGGUAUAGACCCGAAACCCGGUGAUCUAGCCAUGGGCAGGUUGAAGGUUGGGUAACACUAACUGGAGGACCGAACCGACUAAUGUUGAAAAAUUAGCGGAUGACCUGUGGCUGGGGGUGAAAGGCCAAUCAAACCGGGAGAUAGCUGGUUCUCCCCGAAAGCUAUUUAGGUAGCGCCUCGUGAAUUCAUCUCCGGGGGUAGAGCACUGUUUCGGCUAGGGGGCCAUCCCGGCUUACCAACCCGAUGCAAACUGCGAAUACCGGAGAAUGUUAUCACGGGAGACACACGGCGGGUGCUAACGUCCGUCGUGAAGAGGGAAACAACCCAGACCGCCAGCUAAGGUCCCAAAGUCAUGGUUAAGUGGGAAACGAUGUGGGAAGGCCCAGACAGCCAGGAUGUUGGCUUAGAAGCAGCCAUCAUUUAAAGAAAGCGUAAUAGCUCACUGGUCGAGUCGGCCUGCGCGGAAGAUGUAACGGGGCUAAACCAUGCACCGAAGCUGCGGCAGCGAACGUAUCACUUAAAGCGAUUCAGCGGGUUACGAUUGACGGAGCGAAGCGACGUCAAAGCGUAUACAAAGUCGAGUCGGUUUAAGGAUACGUUCGUUGGGUAGGGGAGCGUUCUGUAAGCCUGCGAAGGUGGCCUGUGAGGGUUGCUGGAGGUAUCAGAAGUGCGAAUGCUGACAUAAGUAACGAUAAAGCGGGUGAAAAGCCCGCUCGCCGGAAGACCAAGGGUUCCUGUCCAACGUUAAUCGGGGCAGGGUGAGUCGACCCCUAAGGCGAGGCCGAAAGGCGUAGUCGAUGGGAAACGGGUUAAUAUUCCCGUACUUGGUGUUACUGCGAAGGGGGGACGGAGAAGGCUAUGUUGGCCGGGCGACGGUUGUCCCGGUUUAAGCGUGUAGGCUGGUUUUCCAGGCAAAUCCGGAAAAUCAAGGCUGAGGCGUGACGACGAGGCACUACGGUGCUGAAGCAACAAAUGCCCUGCUUCCAGGAAAAGCCUCUAAGCAUCAGGUAACAUCAAAUCGUACCCCAAACCGACACAGGUGGUCAGGUAGAGAAUACCAAGGCGCUUGAGAGAACUCGGGUGAAGGAACUAGGCAAAAUGGUGCCGUAACUUCGGGAGAAGGCACGCUGACAUGUAGGUGAAGUGAUUUACUCAUGGAGCUGAAGUCAGUCGAAGAUACCAGCUGGCUGCAACUGUUUAUUAAAAACACAGCACUGUGCAAACACGAAAGUGGACGUAUACGGUGUGACGCCUGCCCGGUGCCGGAAGGUUAAUUGAUGGGGUCAGCGCAAGCGAAGCUCCUGAUCGAAGCCCCGGUAAACGGCGGCCGUAACUAUAACGGUCCUAAGGUAGCGAAAUUCCUUGUCGGGUAAGUUCCGACCUGCACGAAUGGCGUAAUGAUGGCCAGGCUGUCUCCACCCGAGACUCAGUGAAAUUGAACUCGCUGUGAAGAUGCAGUGUACCCGCGGCAAGACGGAAAGACCCCGUGAACCUUUACUAUAGCUUGACACUGAACAUUGAGCCUUGAUGUGUAGGAUAGGUGGGAGGCUUUGAAGUGUGGACGCCAGUCUGCAUGGAGCCGGCCUUGAAAUACCACCCUUUAAUGUUUGAUGUUCUAACGUGGACCCGUAAUCCGGGUUGCGGACAGUGUCUGGUGGGUAGUUUGACUGGGGCGGUCUCCUCCUAAAGAGUAACGGAGGAGCACGAAGGUUGGCUAAUCCUGGUCGGACAUCAGGAGGUUAGUGCAAUGGCAUAAGCCAGCUUGACUGCGAGCGUGACGGCGCGAGCAGGUGCGAAAGCAGGUCAUAGUGAUCCGGUGGUUCUGAAUGGAAGGGCCAUCGCUCAACGGAUAAAAGGUACUCCGGGGAUAACAGGCUGAUACCGCCCAAGAGUUCAUAUCGACGGCGGUGUUUGGCACCUCGAUGUCGGCUCAUCACAUCCUGGGGCUGAAGUAGGUCCCAAGGGUAUGGCUGUUCGCCAUUUAAAGUGGUACGCGAGCUGGGUUUAGAACGUCGUGAGACAGUUCGGUCCCUAUCUGCCGUGGGCGCUGGAGAACUGAGGGGGGCUGCUCCUAGUACGAGAGGACCGGAGUGGACGCAUCACUGGUGUUCGGGUUGUCAUGCCAAUGGCACUGCCCGGUAGCUAAAUGCGGAAGAGAUAAGUGCUGAAAGCAUCUAAGCACGAAACUUGCCCCGAGAUGAGUUCUCCCUGAGACUUUAGGUCUCCUGAAGGAACGUUGAAGACGACGACGUUGAUAGGCCGGGUGUGUAAGCGCAGCGAUGCGUUGAGCUAACCGGUACUAAUGAACCGUGAGGCUUAACCUU
rnacentral:rRNA from 1 species